rnacentral:lncRNA from 1 species
GCUGGUAGACUGUAGAGUACUGGGGAGAUAAGCUAAAUACUUCUUACGUUCUGCUCCUUGCCCUUCUGCCUUCUGCAUGGGAGGACAUGGCACUCUUCCCCUCUGGAGGAUGCAACAACACAGGGCCAUCUUGGAAGCAGAGAGCAGCCCUCAAAUCAGUGGGAGAUUUGACCUACAACUACCCAGUCUCCAGAACUAUGGGAAAUAAAUUUCUGCUUUGUACAGAUUACUCAGUCUCAUGUAUUUUGUUAAAG